GGCCCCAUCGUCUAACGGUUAGGACGGUAGGUUCUCAGCCUAUAAAUCGGGGUUCGAUUCCCCGUGGGGUCACCA
rnacentral:tRNA from 7 species